rnacentral:piRNA from 1 species
UGAUUUGAAUCUCUAGUGGGCACUGG